rfam:Sandaracinus amylolyticus strain DSM 53668, complete genome.
UUUCGGUGCGGGCGUCGCGAACGCUCGCCUCGAGGGAAGCCGGUGCGACUCCGGCGCUGCCCCGCAGCGGUGUGCAGGAACGAACGUCGUGGCGACCACUGCGCCUGUGGGCGCGGGAAGGCACGAUCAGUAGGAGGCUCCUCGAGAGCCACGCCUGCGAGCCCGAAGACCUGCCGAGAGU